AUUCGAUUAGAGUUUGAUCCUGGCUCAGAUUGAACGCUGGCGGCAGGCUUAACACAUGCAAGUCGAGCGGUAGCACAAGAGAGCUUGCUCUCUGGGUGACGAGCGGCGGACGGGUGAGUAAUGUCUGGGAAACUGCCUGAUGGAGGGGGAUAACUACUGGAAACGGUAGCUAAUACCGCAUAACGUCGCAAGACCAAAGAGGGGGACCUUCGGGCCUCUUGCCAUCAGAUGUGCCCAGAUGGGAUUAGCUAGUAGGUGGGGUAAUGGCUCACCUAGGCGACGAUCCCUAGCUGGUCUGAGAGGAUGACCAGCCACACUGGAACUGAGACACGGUCCAGACUCCUACGGGAGGCAGCAGUGGGGAAUAUUGCACAAUGGGCGCAAGCCUGAUGCAGCCAUGCCGCGUGUGUGAAGAAGGCCUUCGGGUUGUAAAGCACUUUCAGCGAGGAGGAAGGUGGUGAGCUUAAUACGCUCAUCAAUUGACGUUACUCGCAGAAGAAGCACCGGCUAACUCCGUGCCAGCAGCCGCGGUAAUACGGAGGGUGCAAGCGUUAAUCGGAAUUACUGGGCGUAAAGCGCACGCAGGCGGUUUGUUAAGUCAGAUGUGAAAUCCCCGGGCUCAACCUGGGAACUGCAUUUGAAACUGGCAAGCUAGAGUCUCGUAGAGGGGGGUAGAAUUCCAGGUGUAGCGGUGAAAUGCGUAGAGAUCUGGAGGAAUACCGGUGGCGAAGGCGGCCCCCUGGACGAAGACUGACGCUCANGUGCGAAAGCGUGGGGAGCAAACGGGAUUAGAUACCCUGGUAGUCCACGCUGUA
rnacentral:rRNA from 1 species